UACGUAGGGUGCAAGCGUUGUCCGGAAUUAUUGGGCGUAAAGAGCGUGUAGGCGGCCCGAUUAGUCUGCUGUGAAAGUCCAGGGCUCAACCCUGGAAUGCCGGUGGAUACUGUCGGGCUAGAGUCCGGAAGGGGCGAGUGGAAUUCCUGGUGUAGCGGUGAAAUGCGCAGAUAUCAGGAGGAACACCAAUGGCGAAGGCGGGUCUCUGGGCCGAUACUGACGCUGAGGAGCGAAAGCGUGGGGAGCGAACAGG
rnacentral:rRNA from 1 species